rnacentral:rRNA from 1 species
UACAGAGGUGGCAAGCGUUGUUCGGAAUCACUGGGCUUAAAGGGCGCGUAGGCGGGCUGACAAGUCUGGGGUGAAAUGCCGCGGCUCAACCGUGGAACUGCCUUAGAUACUGUCGGCCUCGAGGAAGGUAGGGGCAUGCGGAACUGUAGGUGGAGCGGUGAAAUGCGUUGAUAUCUACAGGAACUCCGGUGGCGAAAGCGGCGUGCUGGACCUUUUCUGACGCUGAGGCGCGAAAGCUAGGGGAGCAAACGGG